CUGACGGAAGGAUCAUUA
rnacentral:rRNA from 2 species